rnacentral:rRNA from 1 species
UACGUAGGUGGCAAGCGUUAUCCGGAAUCAUUGGGUUUAAAGGGUCCGUAGGCGGUUUAAUAAGUCAGUGGUGAAAGCCCAUCGCUCAACGGUGGAACGGCCAUUGAUACUGUUAAACUUGAAUUAUUAGGAAGUAACUAGAAUAUGUAGUGUAGCGGUGAAAUGCUUAGAGAUUACAUGGAAUACCAAUUGCGAAGGCAGGUUACUACUAAUGGAUUGACGCUGAUGGACGAAAGCGUGGGUAGCGAACAGG